GGUAGCGUGGCCGAGCGGUCUAAGGCGCUGGUUUUAGGCACCAGCCAUUUCGAUGGCGUGGGUUCGAAGUCCCACCGCCUG
rnacentral:tRNA from 1 species